rnacentral:rRNA from 1 species
GGGAGGCACAGUGAGGGAUAUUGCGCAAUGGCGCGGGAGCUGACGCAGCAACGCCGCGUGGGCGGAAGAAGGCCUUCGGGUUGUAAACCUCUUUUCUGGGGGACGAGACAGGACGGUACCCCAGGAAUAAGUCUCGGCUAACUACGUGCCAGCAGCCGCGGUAAAACGUAGGAGGCAAGCGUUAUCCGGAGUUAUUGGGCGUAAAGGGCGUUUAGGCGGGGCCUUAAGUCUGGCGUGAAAUCUCCCGGCUCAACUGGGAGGGUGCGCUGGAGGCUGGGGUUCUUGAGGGCAGGAGAGGGGGGUGGAAUUCCCGGUGUAGCGGUGGAAUGCGUAGAGAUCGGGAGGAACAUCAGUGGCGAAGGCGGCCCCCUGGCCUGUGCCUGACGCUGAAGCGCGAAAGCGUGGGGAGCAAACGGGAUUAGAUACCCCGGUAGUCCACGCCCUAAACGAUGGCGACUAGGUGUGGGUGGUUUGUACCCAUCCGUGCCGCAGCUAACACGAUAAGUCGCCCGCCUGGGGACUACGGCCGCAAGGUUAAAACUCAAAGGAAUUGACGG